CUGGCAGCGCAGGGCGGCCUUUGUCCCAGCUGGGUUUGCCCAGAGCCCGAGGCAGGACUCAGAACCACGCUCCAUACGGGGCCGUGGGGCUCUGCUCCCCCCGCCAGGCUUUAUGAGCUCCGUCUCUUUGAAGUUUUUCCUUUUCUAACCUCGCUUCAAGAGCACCUCAGCCUAAUUAGCCCGGAGCUGACAAAGCCAUCCGAAGGCGCUGCGGGUGCCAGCAGGACGGCACCGAGGUGUCAGACCCUGCAAACAAAGAUCCCCUCAUUUCCCCCUGUCCCCUCGCUCACCGUGACAGCCGGGCGUUUGGCUCGCACUCUGCUGCCACUCCACCUCCGGGCAGGGCGCUCAGCUUUGUAGAAGCAAUUUGUCGCCCAUCCCCGGCGGCAGGUCCGUCCCCAAACCCAUCUGGGCUUCCUGCAGCAGCAUCCCUGUGCCUGGGUUCGCAUAAAUGAGGGGAUGGAAAAGCAACGCUUCUAAAGCUGAGGUGGAAAGGAGUGCUGGGAAAGCUCCCUCCCUGUUUUGGGGGGACGUUUUCCUGCAGAAGAGCAUUGGGGGAGAGGCUGGAUGGACAGAAGCUGCCCUUCUGCAAAGCCUCGUGGGAACGGGGCCGGGAGCAACAGAGGGGUGCCACAACCAAACGAAAUCAGCUGAGGGAUCAGCAGGAGGUUUGGGCUGUUUCCUGCUGACAGCAACGGCCCGAGCCUUUUCCCGCAGGAAAACCAGCAGACCUCUCGCUGCUGGGGCUGCACGGAGCAGGGAUUCUCAGCCCGGCGCAUCGCUGCUCCGUCAGCGCGAAGAUCCGAGCUCUGCGCGUCGUUUCCUGCGACAAAACGAGGCUCAAGAAGGGAGAAGCCCCGAUUCCGAGUUUUCACCAGGAGCGGCUGCAGGGAAACAAAGCAGCCGACGUGAGGAAUGCAACCGGCCCAUUCGCUGGGGCUGCUGCUGCCUGCGGCACACGGACGUGCCUCUGCUUGUCGUUUCGAGAGCUAUUGUUGCUCGGGGCCGGGGGCCUCUUUGUUUCCUUUACCCUUUCGCCAGGCUCGGUCGCAGCCCGCUAUUAAAUUAUUCAAAUCAU